rnacentral:sRNA from 1 species
CACCCUGGAAACCCCCUUCGAUGACCUCCAGAGCCUCCCAAACGACGUGAUCUCUUCCCUGAAGAACAGGCUGAAAAAGGUCUCCACAACCACUGGGGAUGGUGUGGCCAGAGCGUUCCUCAAGGCCCAGGCCGCUUUCUUCGGUAGCUACCGAAACGCUCUGAAAAUCGAGCCGGAGGAGCCGAUCACCUUCUGUGAGGAAGCCUUCGUGUCCCACUACCGCUCCGGAGCCAUGAGGCAGUUCCUGCAGAACGCCACGCAGCUGCAGCUCUUCAAGCAGUUUAUUGAUGGUCGAUUAGAUCUUCUCAAUUCUGGCGAAGGUUUCAGUGAUGUUUUUGAAGAGGAAAUCAACAUGGGCGAGUACGCUGGCAGUGACAAACUGUACCAUCAGUGGCUGUCCACCGUCCGGAAAGGAAGUGGAGCAAUUCUGAAUACUGUAAAGACCAAAGCAAAUCCGGCCAUGAAGACUGUCUACAAGUUCGCAAAAGAUCAUGCAAAAAUGGGAAUAAAAGAGGUGAAAAACCGCUUGAAGCAAAAGGACAUUGCCGAGAAUGGCUGCGCCCCCACCCCAGAGGAGCAGCUGCCAAAGACUGCACCGUCCCCACUGGUGGAGGCCAAGGACCCCAAGCUCCGAGAAGACCGGCGACCAAUCACAGUCCACUUUGGACAGCUGCAGAGACUGCGUCCCACCCGACCGCCUCCCAAGAUACAGCGCUCGAGGCCCGUGAGUAGCCGGUGGUUCUGCCCUCCCCACCUAACACUGCCUGAACCAUUCUCCCUCAGCCUGACUAAACCUCCGGAGUUUGGACCCUCCUGCCUGGCAAAAGAAAACUGGGAAUUGGGUUUUUCAGCUUCCCUCUCUGUGUGGCAUGAACUUGAGCUUGCAUUUUCUGAGCUUCUCUCGCUUUUUUGUGAAUAAGUUUGGUGACUUGCAGAUCAGAGCCAUAGGUAGCAAGGGGGCCACUGUGUGGUGUGUGUGCUGUGUGUGCAUCAUUUGAUUGCUCACAGGGUGAGCAACAGGUUGAAAGCCUUCCUCCAUAUGCCUGUUCCUCACAAAGGAAGCAGAAGUCCAGGGGCAAGGGUCUCAUUCCUGCCAGAUCUUGGUCUGGAAAUGCAUUUAUACCUUCCCAUGGGUGGAGGCUAUGUCCAGGGAGUAUGGAGCCAGCUCAUAUGGAUGCAGGUACCGCUGCCUUGCCAGGCCUUC